UUCCAGUCUGUGCUUACAGGAUGCCUGGGAAGUGUUUGACAGAGCUGCACUGAGCUUGGCAACUUCCCCUGGCUUCUCACAUAAGAACAGCAAAUAUUUCAGGCCCUGACCUUUCUACAAAGAUUAUCAAAUGAUCUCUCUGCUAUGGUAUCCUGCAGUACUGUGAGAUGGUGACAUGGUAUACUUCAUCCCAAACCAUGCAGCAUAUGAAGCACCAUCUAUCCCGAUCCAUGUGUGUGGGCAAUACACAAUGUGACUCAGGAACACAAAACUUAUUCAACAAAGUGGUCCUUCAGUGUUCUGUGGGCAUCUGGCAGCUCCCUUCCGCUCCUGCUGAAACCCUAAGUACUAUCAAGCGAAGAGCAGAGCAGCCUCUUCCUGCAUUUCCCACCAGUUUAUUAUUCUUCUCUGGCUUGUGGAGAGUCCUCAAGGUUAACACCUGGAAAGUCCUAUGUUCAGAAGAGAACAGGCAGUGA
rnacentral:lncRNA from 1 species